rnacentral:rRNA from 1 species
CCUACGAGCGGCAGCAGUGGGGAAUAUUGGGCAAUGGGCGCAAGCCUGACCCAGCAACGCCGCGUGAAGGAAGAAGGCUUUCGGGUUGUAAACUUCUUUUCUCAGGGACGAAGAAAGUGACGGUACCUGAGGAAUAAGCCACGGCAAACUACGUGCCACCAGCCGCGGUAAUACGUAGGUGGCAGGCGUUAUCCGGAUUUAUUGGGUGGAAAGGGCGUGUAGGCGGGAGAGCAAGUCAGAUGUGAAAACUCAGGGCUCAACCCUGAGCCUGCAUUUGAAACUGUGUUUCUUGAGUGCGGGAGGGGCAAUCGGAAUUCCGUGUGUAGCGGUGAAAUGCGAAGAUAUACGGAGGAACACCAGUGGCGAAGGCGGAUUGCGGGACAGUAACUGACGCUGGGGCGCGAAAGCGUGGGGAGCAAACAGGAUUAGAACCCCUGUAGUC